GGUGGAGCAGCUUGGUGUUCUCCGUUUCCUCGUCGUCGUCCUCGAGCUCGUCGAUGUCCACUUCGACGCCCUCGUCCUCCGACGAUGACAGGAGAUCCUCGUCGUCAUCCUCAUCCAUGCCUAGCAAGCAUUUCACGGAAAGUAAGAAGCCGGGAUUUUCUUUCUUUGGGAAUGCCGGGAUAAUUCAUUGUUGGAGCUUCGUUAAGUAGCCGGAUGUCGGUACCAAGAUUCUCCCCAAAAGAGGCAAGACGCCGCAGAUGCAUCUCGCGGCAUACAAACGCAGGAUCAGCGACAAUGACGAUGGGAAUGAUGCAUUAUUGUAACAACCGGACCGCGAUUCGAGAUGACUAGUCCGCCGCGACGCGGCCAACGGCCCGGUUUUGCGGUCCUGUGGGAAUCCUGCCCCAUAAACGUCCCACGGGAACUACCUGUCGCCCGAAACCCACACCCCGUCAUAUCCGCCCUGCGAAUCGUCGAAUUUCGCACGAGUCUCUCCUCUUUUUCAUCUCCCUCGUCCGUGUGUGAUGGUGUGGUAACGUAAUGUGGUGCGUCCGUGUCGUGCGUGUGCGUUACUCGCCGUUCACACACUCCUCGCGGGAGCGAAAAGGUCGUCGUCGGCGAGGGUAACUCCGAGAUACCUGUUCCUGGGAACGGGAGCGAUCUCGAUAUCGGAAGGUGGCAAUCAAUUAGAUCGUUGCCUUCGAGGGCAGGCUUCGAAUAAAAAAGAUAUUCCGUUGUAACGAACUGCAAGUAACAUUGUAAAGUUAUAAGAACAAGUUACAUAGCUACAUAGGUAGAAUUGAUUAAUUAUUUAUUACAUAAAUAAAAGUUACUCAGAAAUUAAAAAAUACA